AGUGAACAGGGAAAAGCCCAGCACCGAAGCCUGUGGCCGAUUGGUUACUAGGCAAUGUGGUGUUCAGGUCGUUCCGCGGAGGUACUGCUCCAUUCCAAGUCCAGCAAUGAGUCCGGUAAUGUUGACAUGGCCCAAAGAGGGUGAAAGGCCCGUUGGGGUGGAGGUGCAGUAAUGCCAGUGCCUUCCUGGAUAGACCUUGGAGUCGGGUUGUUUGUGAAUGCAGCCCAAAGUGGGUGGUAAACUCCAUCCAAGGCUAAAUACUAACACGAGUCCGAUAGCGAACAAGUACCGUGAGGGAAAGUUGAAAAGUACUUUGAAGAGAGAGUAAACAGUGCGUGAAACCGCUCAGAGGUAAACGGGUGGAGUUGAACUGUGAACUCUGUGGAUUUAGCCGGUGAGUGUGGUUUGAGCUUGGUCAAAUUGGUUGAUACUUGGGGUCUGCGAAGUAGCAGGUCUCCGCCGUUUGGUGGGGAUGCGCGAUACACUUACCAAGUGUUGCGCGCUCCAUGGAUAUUCGGGCCAGCUCGCCGGUGCACUUUCGCAGAGUGGUCACCACGACCGGCAUCGCUGUCUGGCUGUUGUGGUUAAACCGGCCGCGCAUUGCUCUUGUGGCUUUGUUUGGUCGGGAUGGCAGGUAGCUCGUUGGCUGGCCUGUAGCUUGCUGCAGGCAUUCGGUCCUCGGGUGUAAUUCGCUGACCACAUCGGUUCUGUACAGUAUGUCGGAGACGGCGGCUUGUGGUGUGUGCGUGCGUACCAGUUGGCUGGCGUGUCCGGGUUUGGUUGUUAUUUUGCCUGUGUUCACAGGACUAAUGAUAGCUCGGAUACGUUCGGUUGGCGGUUGCGUGCGUGUCACUUUUUCCAGGGCCAAUAGUCUGUGGUGUUGCGGUAGACUAUCCACCUGACCCGUCUUGAAACACGGACCAAGGAGAGUAACAUGUGCGCGAGUCAUUGGGCGUAACGAAACCCAAAGGCGAAGUGAAAGUAAAGGUCUGGCUUGUCUGGACUGAGGUGAGAUCCUGUCGUUUCUCAUGCGCGGUAUCACCAAGCAUCGAGCGGCAGGCGCAUCACCGGCCCGUCCCAUGGUGUGAUGACCCUUUCAUAGAGUUUGUCAUCGGGGCGGAGCAUGAGCGUACAUGUUGAGACCCGAAAGAUGGUGAACUAUGCUUGCGCAGGUUGAAGCCAGAGGAAACUCUGGUGGAGG
rnacentral:rRNA from 1 species